rnacentral:rRNA from 1 species
GACAGAGGAUGCAAGCGUUAUCCGGAAUGAUUGGGCGUAAAGCGUCUGUAGGUGGCUUUUUAAGUCCGCCGUCAAAUCCCAGGGCUCAACCCUGGACAGGCGGUGGAAACUACCAAGCUGGAGUACGGUAGGGGCAGAGGGAAUUUCCGGUGGAGCGGUGAAAUGCGCAGAUAUCAGGAGGAACACCGAUGGCGAAGGCAGGUCUCUGGGCAUUAACUGACGCUGAGGAGCGAAAGCAUGGGGAGCGAAC